UUCCGUACUAUAUAUUGAACACCUAGGAUUAACUGCGGGUCAUACAGGACUAGACAGUCAUUAGCUGUUGGAGGAAAGACUAUCAGUAUUAAAUCCAACGCCAACUAUGAGUUGUGAUAAUAGCGAUCCGUGUUGUUGCGACAGUUGUCUGUGUUUUCCUGGUUAUGGCAAUAGUAUUGUCACCUUGGAGUCUGGCAAAACAUUCAUAGAAGACGUAAAGGUGGGUGACUUAGCCAAGGUGGUAUUGGACGAUGGAAGUUUUGGUUAUUCAGAAGUUUGGACCUUGGGUCACCACAAUCCAGAUACAGAGACCAACUUUAUCCAGAUCGAGACAGAGAACAGACGUUUAAAUAUUAGCCCUCGACAUUUUUUGGUGGUGAAUCGGAACCACGAAAGGUUAGAUGUAAUGGCUAAAGACGUAAAGGUUGAAGAUGAGUUAAUUGUUUAUGACCAACUACUGUACAAGGAUGCCGCUGGAACUGAAGAAGUGGUCGACAUUGAAGUCAUUGAAGGAAAGGGCGUUUUUGCGCCUUUCACCAAACAAGGUCGUCUUAUUGUAAAUG